GACGAACGCUGGCGGCAUGCCUAACACAUGCAAGUCGAACGGAGAUUACUUCGGUAAUCUUAGUGGCGAACGGGUGAGUAACGCGUAGGCAACCUGCCCUCUAGAUGGGGACAACAUCCCGAAAGGGGUGCUAAUACCGAAUGUGACAAGUUUUCCGCAUGGAAGAAUUGUGAAAGAUGGCCUCUAUUUAUAAGCUAUCGCUAGAGGAUGGGCCUGCGUCUGAUUAGCUAGUUGGUGGGGCAACGGCUCACCAAGGCGAUGAUCAGUAGCCGGUCUGAGAGGAUGAACGGCCACAUUGGGACUGAGACACGGCCCAGACUCCUACGGGAGGCAGCAGUGGGGAAUCUUCCGCAAUGGGCGAAAGCCUGACGGAGCAAUGCCGCGUGAGUGAUGAAGGAAUUCGUUCCGUAAAGCUCUUUUGUUUAUGACGAAUGUGCGAGUUGUGAAUAAUGACUUGUAAUGACGGUAGUAAACGAAUAAGCCACGGCUAACUACGUGCCAGCCGCCGCGGUAA
rnacentral:rRNA from 1 species